AGGCCAGUGGCGGCGGCUUACACAUGCAGUCGAGCGGUAGCACAGGGGAGCUUGCUCCCCGGGUGACGAGCGGCGGACGGGUGAGUAAUGUCUGGGAAACUGCCUGAUGGAGGGGGAUAACUACUGGAAACGGUAGCUAAUACCGCAUAACGUCGCAAGACCAAAGAGGGGGACCUUCGGGCCUCUUGCCAUCAGAUGUGCCCAGAUGGGAUUAGCUAGUAGGUGGGGUAAUGGCUCACCUAGGCGACGAUCCCUAGCUGGUCUGAGAGGAUGACCAGCCACACUGGAACUGAGACACGGUCCAGACUCCUACGGGAGGCAGCAGUGGGGAAUAUUGCACAAUGGGCGCAAGCCUGAUGCAGCCAUGCCGCGUGUGUGAAGAAGGCCUUCGGGUUGUAAAGCACUUUCAGCGAGGAGGAAGGUGGUGAGCUUAAUACGCUCAUCAAUUGACGUUACUCGCAGAAGAAGCACCGGCUAACUCCGUGCCAGCAGCCGCGGUAAUACGGAGGGUGCAAGCGUUAAUCGGAAUUACUGGGCGUAAAGCGCACGCAGGCGGUUUGUUAAGUCAGAUGUGAAAUCCCCGGGCUCAACCUGGGAACUGCAUUUGAAACUGGCAAGCUAGAGUCUCGUAGAGGGGGGUAGAAUUCCAGGUGUAGCGGUGAAAUGCGUAGAGAUCUGGAGGAAUACCGGUGGCGAAGGCGGGCCCCCUGGACGAAGACUGACGCUCAGGUGCGAAAGCGUGGGGAGCAAACAGGAUUAAAUACCCUGGGUAGUCCACGCUGUAACGAUGUCAUUUGAAGGUUGUGCCCUUGAGCGUGGCUUCCGGAACUAACGCGUUAAAUCGACCGCCUGGGGGAGUAUGGGCCGCAA
rnacentral:rRNA from 1 species